rnacentral:rRNA from 1 species
UCCGUAGGCGGUGCGGCAAGUCGGAAGUGAAAUCUCUGGGCUUAACCCAGAGGCUGCUUCCGAAACUGCCAUGCUAGAGUGCGAGAGAGGCGAGUGGAAUUGCGGGUGUAGCGGUGAAAUGCGUAGAUAUCCGCAGGAACAUCCGAGGCGAAGGCGGCUCGCUGGAUCGCAACUGACGCUGAGGGACGAAAGCUAGGGGAGCAAACAGGAUUAGAUACCCUGGUAGUCCUAGCCCUAAACCAUCAGGACUUGGGGUUUGCCCUGUACGGGGCAAGUCCCGUAGCUAACGCGUUAAGUCCUGCGCCUGGGGAGUACGGUCGCAAGGCUGAA